UCCUUAGUGGUCCAGUGGCUAAGACUCUGCACUCCCAAUGCAGGAGAUUUGGGUUCAAUCCUUGGUCAAGGAA
rnacentral:tRNA from 1 species